UACAGAGGGUGCGAGCGUUAAUCGGAAUUACUGGGCGUAAAGCGCACGUAGGUGGCGACGUAAGUCGGGUGUGAAAGCCCCGGGCUCAACCUGGGAAUUGCAUUCGAGACUGCAUUGCUGGAGUACGGAAGAGGAAGGCGGAAUUCCCGGUGUAGCGGUGAAAUGCGUAGAUAUCUGGAGGAACACCGGUGGCGAAGGCGGCAUCCUGGACCGGUAUUGACGCUGAGGCGCGAAAGCUAGGGGAGCAAACGGG
rnacentral:rRNA from 1 species